rnacentral:lncRNA from 1 species
ACAACUUCAAAUGUAAACUUGCAGAAAGUAAAUUUGCAGGAAAGAAAUUGUAACAGAAAUGAAAAAUUGCAGAAAGGGGAAAAGAAAGCUAAGCUCUCUACCAGAGCCUUCUACCCUACUCCUAAUACUCUCUAGCAGAGCCAGCCUCCUCUCUAAAAUGGAACAGAUCCCUUUUUAUAGGCUUUUACAAAAUUAAAAUGAAAUUAAAAAGAAAUCACAAUUUAAAUAAAAUUCCUAUUCUAACUAUCUCUUAUGCCUUUGAG